UUUAGUUGGAGGGCAAUUGAGACAAUUAACCUUAUGCAUGUGAACUUAAGGCUUGUUUGGAUUGAUAGUGCUUCAUAAAUCAGAUUUUUGGGAGAAAGAAGAAAGGAAUAGCCAUUGAAGCAAAGAGAAGGAAGAAGAACUCAUGAAGCAAGUUCUAUUUUCGCAACUAUUGAUACAGCCCCACUAAAUCAGGUUUGAAGUAGAGUGAUCCAUGCUGAGUUUGUGUGUGACUGCAGCUGCGAAUUUGAUGAUGAAGAAGGUGAACCUUUGGGCAAGAAGGGAGUUCAAAGGCUGCAUUAACACCACCUAAAUCUCUAUUAACCCAAGGUGUGGUUUAGUAGCGUUUGGUCAGUAACAGGUUUGGACUGAAGACUUGGAAGUGGUGUUGACUCGAAGACCUCGUUGGUUUUGACAUUCCGCUGUGCAAGAUCCAUUGAAGACUCAUGUAUUAUGUUUCCUAGUAGAAUUUCAUGUUGUAUUUAUAUGGAUCUUUCUAUAACUAUAGCUUUUGU